ensembl:ncRNA C33G3.12 ncRNA
GACGCACUAUGCUGUGCAUGUGAGAGGAACUAGAGAGGUUAGACAAAAACGCUCUCAUUUCUCUUUGUCAUCUACGCCAACAAUGACGUAACAUUUGCAAGUCUCGAAUGUUAC